ACUCUGAUCCAGCCAUGCCGCGUGCAGGAAGACUGCCCUAUGGGUUGUAAACUGCUUUUAUCCGGGAAUAAACCUCAUUACGUGUAUUGAGCUGAAUGUACCGGAAGAAUAAGGAUCGGCUAACUCCGUGCCAGCAGCCGCGGUAAUACGGAGGAUCCAAGCGUUAUCCGGAUUUAUUGGGUUUAAAGGGUGCGUAGGCGGCCUGUUAAGUCAGGGGUGAAAGACGGUAGCUCAACUAUCGCAGUGCCCUUGAUACUGAUGGGCUUGAAUGGACUAGAGGUAGGCGGAAUGAGACAAGUAGCGGUGAAAUGCAUAGAUAUGUCUCAGAACACCGAUUGCGAAGGCAGCUUACUAUGGUCUUAUUGACGCUGAGGCACGAAAGCGUGGGGAUCAAACAGGAUUAGAUACCCUGGUAGUCCACGCCCUAAACGAUGAACACUCGCUGUUGGCGAUACACAGUCAGCGGCUAAGCGAAAGCGUUAAGUGUUCCACCUGGGGAGUACGCCCGCAAGGGUGAAACUCAAAGGAAUUGACGGGGGCCCGCACAAGCGGAGGAGCAUGUGGUUUAAUUCGAUGAUACGCGAGGAACCUUACCCGGGCUUGAAAGUUAGUGAAUGAUCCAGAGAUGGAUCAGUG
rnacentral:rRNA from 1 species